rnacentral:rRNA from 1 species
UGGGGAAUAUUGCUCAAUGGGGGGAACCCUGACGCAGCCAUGCCGCGUGAAUGAAGAAGGCCUUAGGGUUGUAAAGUUCUUUCGGUAUUGAGGAAGGUUGAUGUGUUAAUAGCACAUCAAAUUGACGUUAAAUACAGAAGAAGCACCGGCUAACUCCGUGCCAGCAGCCGCGGUAAUACGGAGGGUGCGAGCGUUAAUCGGAAUAACUGGGCGUAAAGGGCACGCAGGCGGUUAUUUAAGUGAGGUGUGAAAGCCCCGGGCUUAACCUGGGAAUUGCAUUUCAGACUGGGUAACUAGAGUACUUUAGGGAGGGGUAGAAUUCCACGUGUAGCGGUGAAAUGCGUAGAGAUGUGGAGGAAUACCGAAGGCGAAGGCAGCCCCUUGGGAAUGUACUGACGCUCAUGUGCGAAAGCGUGGGGAGCAAACAGGAUUAGAUACCCUGGUAGUCCACGCUGUAAACGCUGUCGAUUUGGGGGUUGGGGUUUAACUCUGGCGCCCGUAGCUAACGUGAUAAAAUCGACCGCCUGGGGAGUACGGCCGCAAGGUUA